rnacentral:rRNA from 1 species
UACGUAGGGGGCAAGCGUUGUCCGGAAUCAUUGGGCGUAAAGAGCGUGUAGGCGGCCCGAUAAGUCCGCUGUGAAAGUCCAGGGCUCAACCCUGGGAUGCCGGUGGAUACUGUCGGGCUCGAGUCCGGAAGAGGAGUGUGGAAUUCCUGGUGUAGCGGUGAAAUGCGCAGAUAUCAGGAGGAACACCGGUGGCGAAGGCGGAUCUCUGGGCCGUAACUGACGCUGAGGAGCGAAAGCAUGGGUAGCGAACAGG